UACAGAGGCCUCAAGCGUUGUUCGGAAUCACUGGGCGUAAAGGGUGCGUAGGCGGCGCGGAAAGUCAGGGGUGAAAUCCCGGAGCUCAACUCCGGAACUGCCUUUGAUACUCCCGCGCUUGAGAACUGGAGGGGACAUCGGAAUUCACGGUGGAGCAGUGAAAUGCGUGGAUAUCGUGAGGAACACUAGUGGCGAAGGCGGAUGUCUGGACAGUAUCUGACGCUGAGGCACGAAGGCCAGGGGAGCGAAUGGG
rnacentral:rRNA from 1 species